GUCGGGAUAGCUCAGCUGGUAGAGCAGAGGACUGAAAAUU
rnacentral:tRNA from 3 species